GAUGAACGCUGGCGGCGUGCCUAAUACAUGCAAGUCGAGCGAACGGACGAGAAGCUUGCUUCUCUGAUGUUAGCGGCGGACGGGUGAGUAACACGUGGAUAACCUACCUAUAAGACUGGGAUAACUUCGGGAAACCGGAGCUAAUACCGGAUAAUAUUUUGAACCGCAUGGUUCAAAAGUGAAAGACGGUCUUGCUGUCACUUAUAGAUGGAUCCGCGCUGCAUUAGCUAGUUGGUAAGGUAACGGCUUACCAAGGCAACGAUGCGUAGCCGACCUGAGAGGGUGAUCGGCCACACUGGAACUGAGACACGGUCCAGACUCCUACGGGAGGCAGCAGUAGGGAAUCUUCCGCAAUGGGCGAAAGCCUGACGGAGCAACGCCGCGUGAGUGAUGAAGGUCUUCGGAUCGUAAAACUCUGUUAUUAGGGAAGAACAAAUGUGUAAGUAACUGUGCACAUCUUGACGGUACCUAAUCAGAAAGCCACGGCUAACUACGUG
rnacentral:rRNA from 1 species